UACGGGGGGGGCAAGCGUUGUUCGGAAUUACUGGGCGUAAAGGGCUCGUAGGCGGCCAACUAAGUCAGACGUGAAAGCCCACGGCUUAACCGUGGAAGUGCAUGGGAAACUGCAGAGCUUGAGUACUUAAGAGGAUCGCGGAAUUCCCGGUGUAGAGGUGAAAUUCGUAGAUAUCGGGAGGAACACCGGUGGCGAAGGCGGUGACCUGGGUUGACAUUGACGCUGAGGCGCGAAAGCGUGGGGGAGCAAACAGG
rnacentral:rRNA from 1 species